UCCAGUUGCGCUCGUUCUUCCUCUGGUAAUUUAUCCAGGUAUACUUUAUAAUCCUUCAAUCUGUUUCAAAACGUGAUGUGUAAGUAUUACUUAAUCAUAUAAUAUAAAUAAAAGAUUCACAUGUCUGCGCUAAAUCGCGUUCGGGACUACUUCGAGACGAAGCUCAAGGUGAGUGUAAAAGUAGAAGAAAAUGUACCUGGUGAGACUGUCGACGAUGAUGAUGAUUAUGACGAGGAGGGCGAUGCCGAAGCGGAAGCCAAUGACGAUUCCGGCGAAUCCGAGAGUGAAAGCGACGCGUCUUCCGACUAACUCGACUAAAGAUUGUUACUCGUUUCUGUUUGUACUUGUACUUUUUAACUCGUUUGAUAUUUUAUCCCUUCUUUUUUGUAUGUAUUAAUAAUGAUAAGUUGUCCUGACAGAGAGUUUAUGACGAUUCAAACGAUUGUUAUCACACAAAUUUGUGUACAGAGUAUGUAAGAUGAAGAAAUCCAUUGAUUCUUGAAUAUAACACAAUUUUCAAACAAUAUGACCUUGGUUAUUGGUUACAAAUGUAAUAUUAAAUAUUAAAAUUAAUUUUCUAGGAUUUUAUGAGCAGGAAUGAAAUAAUAUAGCGCCCUAUGUGUUCGCGACAUGCGCGAUGCACGCGUUGAUUACCAAUGUGAAGAUAAACUCGCGCGCGGCGAGCACCGGUUCCCAAAGCCCAAUAACCUACAAACGCACGAAGCGUACGAAACUUACAAACUUACAAAAAAGAAGGGAUAAAAUAUCAAACGAGUUAAAAAGUACAAGUACAAACAGAAACGAGUAACAAUCUUUAGUCGAGUUAGUCGGAAGACGCGUCGCUUUCACUCUCGGAUUCGCCGGAAUCGUCAUUGGCUUCCGCUUCGGCAUCGCCCUCCUCGUCAUCAUCAUCUUCAUCAUCAUCGUCGGCAGUCUCACCAGAUUGAAGGAUUAUAAAGUAUACCUGGAUAAAUUACCAGAGGAAGAACGAGCGCAACUGGAGUUGGACAUGGAGAAGAAGAAAAAGAAGACUGAGAA